GAUGAACGCUGGCGGCGUGCCUAAUACAUGCAAGUCGAGCGGUAAGGCCUCUUCGGAGGUACACGAGCGGCGGACGGCUGAGUAACACGUAGGAACAUACCCCAAAGUGAGGGAUAACUGCUCGAAAGAGUAGCUAAUACCGCAUGUGGUCUUCGGAUUAAAGCUUCGGCGCUUUGGGAAUGGCCUGCGUCUGAUUAGCUAGAUGGUGAGGUAAUGGCUCACCAUGGCGACGAUCAGUAGCUGGUCUGAGAGGAUGAUCAGCCAGACUGGGACUGAGACACGGCCCAGACUCCUACGGGAGGCAGUAGUAGGGAAUUUUCCACAAUGGGCGAAAGCCUGAUGGAGCAACGCCGCGUGCAGGAUGAAUGCCUUCGGGUUGUAAACUGCUUUUAUAUGUGACGAAUAUGACGGUAGCAUAUGAAUAAGGAUCGGCUAACUCCGUGCCAGCAGCCGCAGUAA
rnacentral:rRNA from 1 species